rnacentral:lncRNA from 1 species
AAGACAUAUAUAAGGCUCAGAUUGUUCAACAAUUAAUAUCAUAAUCGGUCUACUACAAACAUUUAACCGUCAAACUGUUUGAAAUAUUUGCAACGGCCCAAACAUCUGGACUACGUGCACCCACACAUAAAAGCCACCGAAUGGUUGCCUACAUAGUAGGCCAUCCAAAUUCUACAUACCUUUCAUUCUUAUAAUAUAAAUGCAUCAAUAGAGCAUUCACAAUCUAUAUACCAGCAGACCAGUGCACAUCAUAUUGUCGAUUCCUUUCGCCAAGUAAAAAAAGUAAUGGCCUGUCAUACACAACCACUUUUCUAUUUCAUCACAUCACAGAGUGUCAAAUUCUUGUAUAUCAUCAUCGCCUUAUUUUAAAAAAAACAUAACGAAUGAAAUAGAAACUGUAAAAUCAUAAAAGCAUACAAUAACGAAUAAAACCCAAACCAUCAACCCAUAUAAACACCCAAAGGCCAUUUUCUGUACAACAGAACCAUAAAAAUCUGCAGAACAAA